GCGGGGGCAGAGGCAUUCUUGCCGCUGGCCCAGUCACUAUGUAGUGGAGGGGCAGACACCCUCCCGCAAAUUCUGGAAGGUUCUUAGUCUCGACUAGGGCAGUAGCCCCAGGACUCCUAGUCGCCGGCUUCGGGUCACUGCCGGCUGAACGGAGCUGCCGUCGCCAUGUUUGGCUGCUUGGUGGCGGGGAGGCUGUUCUAAGAAGCCAGAAAGAUAAGUUGGAGAUGACUAGCCUCAUAAAGUUUGUCUCUUGAAUGACUGGGAGACCCCUGUGGUGAUGGUGGUAAUUCAUAAUCCUGGUGAGAUAAUUUUGCCCUGCUCUUAAUAGGGAAAAAGGACAAACCUGGAAUGAUUGUGUGACUCAGACGAGUGCAAACAGCUGCACAGCAAGUGGCAGAGGAUAAAUUUGUUUUUGACUUACCUGAUUAUGAAAGUAUCAACCAUGUUGUGGUUUUUAUGCUGGGAACAAUCCCAUUUCCUGAGGGAAUGGGAGGAUCUGUCUACUUUUCUUAUCCUGAUUCAAAUGGAAUGCCAGUAUGGCAACUCCUAGGAUUUGUCACGAAUGGGAAGCCAAGUGCCAUCUUCAAAAUUUCAGGUCUUAAAUCUGGAGAAGGAAGCCAACAUCCUUUUGGAGCCAUGAAUAUUGUCCGAACUCCAUCUGUUGCUCAGAUUGGCAUUUCAGUGGAAUUAUUAGACAGUAUGGCUCAGCAGACUCCUGUAGGUA
rnacentral:sRNA from 1 species